AUUCAUAUAGUUUAAAAAACAUUUUAUUUUCAUUAAAAAAAAAGAACAAAGUUCUUAUGAAUU
rnacentral:tRNA from 1 species